rnacentral:rRNA from 1 species
GAGCCCUACGGGAGGCAGCAGUAGGGAAUCUUCCACAAUGGACGAAAGUCUGAUGGAGCAACGCCGCGUGAGUGAAGAAGGGUUUCGGCUCGUAAAGCCCUGUUGGUAGUGGGGAAAGAUAGAGGUAGUAACUGGCCUUUAUUUGACGGUAAUUACUUAGAAAGUCACGGCUAACUACGUGCCAGCAGCCGCGGUAAUACGUAGGUGGCAAGCGUUGUCCGGAUUUAUUUG